GGAGGGUUGGCCGAGUGGUAAGGCAGCGGCUUGCUAAGCCGUAGUCGGGGGCAACCCCGCGCGCGUUCGAUCCGCGCACCCUCCGCCG
rnacentral:tRNA from 1 species